GCCCAGGUAGCUCAGUCGGUAGAGCAGAAGACUGAAAAUCUUCGUGUCGGCGGUUCAAGCCCGUCCCUGGGCA
rnacentral:tRNA from 1 species